rnacentral:rRNA from 1 species
UAAUUAGUCUUUUAAUUGGUGACUGGAAUGAAUGAAUUUAUAAAAUUUAAGCUUUAUUUUUUUUAUAAUUUUAAUUUAAUUUUUAAGUGAAGAAGCUUAAAUUUUAUUAUAAGACAAGAAGACCCUAAUGAUUUUAAUUUUAAUAAUUUUUACUUAAUUUAAACUAUUAAGUUAUAAUUUAAUAAAAUUUUACUGGGGUGGUAAUAAAAUAUAAUAAACUUUUAUUUUUAUAUGAUUAAAUCUUUUUAUUGAUCCUUUAUUAUGAUUAAAAGUAAAAAAUACCAUAGGGAUAACAGGCUAAUUAAUUU